GCAUACUUAGCGCAGCCAGUUUUAGCCAUUCAGACACCACCCCACUGUGCCAUUUAGCUUCUGAUGGUGAAGGAUUUCUGCAGUACCUGCUUCAGCUCCAUGAAGUAUCUCCCAGAUGUGCACUGAGUAUUAUUAGCAUGGCUUCAAGGAAAGUGCUGGUGUGAAGUCCUGGAACAGAGGUGAAUGUGUUCCUCACACAGGGUGAGAGCUGUAAGGUGGUUCACAAGGUGCUGUGGUGCUCUGUGGGC
rnacentral:lncRNA from 1 species